CCCAUCGGCUGAAUUGGUUGCCGGAGUAGCACCGGCCGGUCGGAGAACCUGAUGUGGAUUGGAAAAUCCCACCCCACCCCAUCUUGAAAUCGAAGCUUUGGGCCGGGUACCUCUAGUCCACCACGCCGGAGGGCCGUCUCGGUUGGGAAACGAAGCCACCACAUGUCGACCACUGUAGAGUCGUCUCCAUCCCCCCUAAGGCACUGUCCUCGUAUGAUCUAGAUGUUUUGUGCCACAUGAUGCCAAUCAUGCAUCAUUCGUUUCUGAAACUCCUUGGAUUGACCUAUCCCCACAAUAUGAGCGGCGCCGAUUUGAAGGCGCAAAGGAGGUACUGGAGACAUGGGCGGAGAUAGUGAUGAAGGCCCUCCCCGGGGAUGUGCUUUCGGCGUAAUUUGUGUGCUCCAGCUUCCGCAUCAUCAAACCGACCAGGAUAUCACGAUAUCACGGUUACGUGCUGGCAACAUUGUCCUUGCUGUUUUCUGCCAUCGCAAUAGCGUCAAUUUUCAUUUGGCAGUAUUUCGCUGCUACCCAAAACAAUAACCUUGCUUCCCAGCCAUCUUAGACAUGGACCUUGUAACACUUUUUGUUGCUGUAACUGUAUUAGGCUUUUAUUGUAUGGAAGAAUAUCCCCCUAUCAUUGGUAGCGAACUUUCAUUUGUUU